rnacentral:rRNA from 1 species
CUGGCCGUAAACGAUGAAUGCUAGGUGUGGGUGUCGAGAGGCAUCCGUGCCGGAGUUAACGCGAUAAGCAUUCCGCCUGGGGAGUACGAUCGCAAGAUUGAAACUCAAAGGAAUUGACGGGGGCCCGCACAAGCGGUGGAGCACGUGGUUUAAUUCGAUGCAAACCGAAGAACCUUACCUAGGUUUGACAUGUACGUGGUACGGAUCUGAAAGGUGAAGGACUGUACCUUCGGGUACAGAGCGUACACAGGUGC